ACUCCUACGGGAGGCAGCAGUGGGGAAUAUUGCACAAUGGGCGCAAGCCUGAUGCAGCCAUGCCGCGUGUGUGAAGAAGGCCUUCGGGUUGUAAAGCACUUCAGCGGGGAGGAAGGCAAUACGGUUAAUAACCGUGUUGAUGAC
rnacentral:rRNA from 1 species